AGCUUCAGCGCCAAGCCGCAUAGAGGAAGUGGCGCCAGUACCACCUUCAGGUAGCAAAACGCCUCUUGCGCCAUCCACAAAGCAAAAUGUAAUUGCUCCGUCGCCCAAUCCGAUGAAGAAAAAACAGGCCCAUGUGUCUGCGUUAGAUUCUGCAUCAACCACCACGCAAACAAUAAUGGAUUGGGAUAAGUCUAAAGAAAAAUUGAUUCGACAACUGAAAAAAGUUAAAUCUACCGUUAG